rnacentral:rRNA from 1 species
ACAACACUCUCGGAAGCGGAUAUAUGCGCUCUCGCAUCGAUGAAGAACGUAGCAAAAUGCGAUACUUGGUGUGAAUUGCAGAAUCCCGUGAAUCAUCGAGUUUUUGAACGCAAGUUGCGCCCGAAGCCAUCCGGCCAAGGGCACGUCUGCCUGGGCGUCACGCAUCUCGUCGCCACCCCCUCCAAACCCGUCCUC